AACGGUAUGGCAGAGUCCGGUUGAAUGCAGUCGAUUGAAACUCGAUAGUACUGGCUACAGUACCGGGGGUUCGAAUCCCUCUACCACCGC
rnacentral:tRNA from 1 species